CUCGGAGAGUGCAGCUGUGGGUGU
rnacentral:miRNA from 1 species